CUGGCGGCGUGGAUAAGACAUGCAAGUCGAACGAUUAUCAUCGGGUAGCAAUAUUCGGUGGUGAGAGUGGCGCAAGGGUGCGUAACACGUGGGUAAUUUGCCGUAAAGUCUGGAAUAACUUGCUGAAAGGCGAGCUAAUACCGGAUGUGAUUGCUGGAGGGCAUCCUCUGGCACUUAAAGUCGGGGAUCGUAAGACCUGACACUUUUCGAUAAGCCCGCGGCCUAUCAGCUAGUUGGUGAGGUAACGGCUCACCAAGGCUAAGACGGGUAGCUGGUCUGAGAGGACGACCAGCCUCACUGGAACUGAGACACGGUCCAGACACCUACGGGUGGCAGCAGUCGAGAAUUUUUCUCAAUGGGGGAAACCCUGAAGGAGCGACACCGCGUGGGGGAUGAAUGGCUUCGGCCCGUAAACCCCUGUCAUUUGCGAUCAAACCUUACGGCCUAACACGUCGUAAGCUGAUAGUAGCGGAAGAGGAAGGGACGGCUAACUCUGUGCCAGCAGCCGCGGUAAUACAGAGGUCCCAAGCGUUGUUCGGAUUCACUGGGCGUAAAGGGUGCGUAGGCGGUCGGGUAAGUCUGACGUGAAAUCUUCAAGCUCAACUUGGAAACUGCGUCGGAUACUAUUCGGCUCGAGGAAUGGAGGGGAGACUGGAAUACUUGGUGUAGCAGUGAAAUGCGUAGAUAUCAAGUGGAACACCAGUGGCGAAGGCGAGUCUCUGGACAUUUC
rnacentral:rRNA from 1 species